AGGAAAAAUGUGUAUGAUUGUCAUGAUUUAUUAGAAUUCUUCUGUUUAUGUCUUAAGAUGUUUGGAUCUACUGUAUGAUUCUUGCAUUAAAGAAAAUUUAAAAAGCUUUUUUCUCCCCCCCACUGUAAGGGAGUUUACCAUGCUGAUUUACUGUUGUACAACUGGAAAUACAAUCUGGUACACAGCAGUUGGGAAGAAACCUGAGUAAACUUAAGCUAGAUGAUAGAAGACUGCUGAGAACUGUGGAUCUACACUACUUGAAAGCACAGAAAGUGCCUGACCCCAACUGCUAAACUGAACUGAAUGAAUACAGACAACCUGAGAAGAGAGAACCCCCAUGAAUUCAGGAGCAAUUACUCAGCUCAGCUGAAAACAUCAAUAGCACAUGUUAGAAUGGAAUCCUGGAGCCAUGGAUAAUAGAAAAUAUGCACCCUUCGGCUGAGCGCUGAACUGAAGAUCUGUUGGGAGAUUUCCACUGUUCUAUGGCUGGGGCUGUUGUCAGCUUUUCACUGGAAAGGCUGCACCUGAAUAAAAGAAACUAUUUUAAAGGGUUAGUCAAAGUUGAUUUUAGCAAGUACUUUUCUGACACCCUGCCAAUGAUUUGACUUUU